GACGAACGCUGGCGGCGUGCCUAAUACAUGCAAGUAGAACGCACAGUUUAUACCGUAGCUUGCUACACCAUAGACUGUGAGUUGCGAACGGGGGAGUCACGCGUAGCUAACCUGCCUGGUAGCGGGGGAUAACGAUUGGAAACGAUAGCUAAUACCGCAUAAUAUUGAUUAUUGCAUGAUAAUUGAUUGAAAGAUGCUAUUGCAUCACUACCAGAUGGACCUGCGUUUUAUUAGCUAGUAGGUGAGGUAACGGCUCACCUAUGCGAAGAUACAUAGCCGAGCUGGGAGGGUGAUCGGCCAACCUGGGAAUGAGACACGGCCCAGACUCCUACGGGAGGCAGCAGGAGGGAAUCUUCGGAAAUGGACGAAAGUCUGAACGAGCCAAGACGGGUGAGGGAAGAAGGUUUUCGGAUCGUAAAGCUCUGUUGUAAGAGAAGAAAGGGUGUGAGAGUGGAAAGUUCACAUUGUGACGGUAUCUUACCAGAAAGGGACGGCUAACUACGUG
rnacentral:rRNA from 1 species